AGUGAACGCUGGCGGUAGGCCUAACACAUGCCAGUCGAACGGCAGCACAGUAAGAGCUUGCUCUUACGGGUGGCGAGUGGCGGACGGGUGAGGAAUACAUCGGAAUCUACUUUUUCGUGGGGGAUAACGUAGGGAAACUUACGCUAAUACCGCAUACGACCUACGGGUGAAAGCAGGGGAUCUUCGGACCUUGCGCGAUUGAAUGAGCCGAUGUCGGAUUAGCUAGUUGGCGGGGUAGAGGCCCACCAAGGCGACGAUCCGUAGCUGGUCUGAGAGGAUGAUCAGCCACACUGGAACUGAGACACGGUCCAGACUCCUACGGGAGGCAGCAGUGGGAAAUAUUGGACAAUGGGCGCAAGCCUGAUCCAGCCAUACCGCGUGGGUGAAGAAGGCCUUCGGGUUGUAAAGCCCUUUUGUUGGGAAAGAAAAGCAGCAGGUUAAUACCCCGCUGUUCUGACGGUACCCAAAGAAUAAGCACCGGCUAACUUCGUG
rnacentral:rRNA from 1 species